CGGGCUUUUGAGUACUUUUGUGUUCCAAUUCCUUAUAGGUACUUUCUUCUAAUGCUGUCUUUAAUCUAUUUGUAAAUACUAUAAAUAGAAAGUUGAAUACUUAUUAUUUUACAACAUUCCCUAUCUUGAAGAGUAUAAUGUAUUUUUUUAUUGUUUUCCUGUUUUUUAUUACAAUCCCUACCAUGGAUAGUAUUGGGUGUUCCAUUUUUCGACUCCUCUAUGGGAACUUUGUAAUAUUUAGAAUAGCCAUGAAGAAGUGAUUGGUGUCUCAGAAGAGUUGAUUAUCAGUGUACAGUUUAUCGACUACGAGAGCUACACAUUUCCCUUUUAGUCUAUUCACUUUGAAGAAUGGGUACAGAACUUUGCUCCAUUCUGCAAGUUCCUUCGGGAACUGAUCAUUCAUGCCUAUUUUCGUCCAAUCAAGUCUUUGGCCCAAGCUUUUAACCAUUAUUUUAUGCUUAAAGAAUGCACAUUUGGCAAUGAUUGUGCACUCAUAUCUCUGUCCUUUCUGUCCAAAACGAUGUACACGUUCGAGUUUGAUUUUGCUGACUGGAAUCUGUAGCGCUUUAACCAGGAAAUGUUUCACCACACUCCCAGAUCUUCACCCUCAUUCUCUUUAAUACCAGACCUGAGCCCUAGGACCAUGCCUCAGAACUACCUGGCAUGAUGACUCCUUGCUGUCCCCAGUCCACCUGGCCGUGCUGCUGCUCCAGUUUCAACUGUUCUGCCUUCGGCUAUGGAACCCUGACCUGUUCACCGGACGUGCUUGUUGCACCCUCGACAACUACUAUGAUUAUUAUUAUUUGACCAUGCUGGUCAUUUAUGAACAUUUUAACAUCUUGACCAUGUUCUGUUAUAAUAUCCACCCGGCACAGCCAGAAGAGGACUGGCCACCCCUCAUAGCCUGGUUCCUCUCUAGGUUUCUUCCUAGGUUUUUGGCCUUUCUAGGGAGUUUUUCCUAGGGAGUUUUUCCUAGCCACCGUGCUUCUUUCACAUGCAUUGCUUGCUGUUUGGGGUUUUAGGCUGGGUUUCUGUACAGCACUUUGAGAUGUCAGCUGAUGUACGAAGGGCUAUAUAAAUAAAUUUGAUUAGAUUUUUGAUUUGAUGAUAUAACCCAGGAAGGGGAUGGUGGAGCGAUGGAAUUCACACUUUUCCGCUUUCACAAAAAGCUGGUUCUCCAGGAGGCUUUGGAAAUCUGUCGGAUGUGGAGCACGUGUUCUUGGGCGGAGCGGGAGAAGACGAGGAUGUCGUCGAGGUAGACGAAGACGAACCGGUUCAACAUGUCACGGAGAACAUCAUUAACCAGAGCCUGGAACACAGCUGGGGCGUUGGUAAGGCCAAAUGGCAUGACCAGAUACUCAUAGUGACUGCUGGCCAUGUUGAAGGCAGUCUUCCACUCAUCCCCUUCCUGUAUCUGCACCAGGUGGUAGGCAUUCCGUAGGUCCAGCUUGGAGAACGCGGUGGCCCCCUGGGUGCGGCCGAGGAGAUGAGUGGUAGCGGUUCUUCAACGUGAUGUUGUUGAGGCCCCGGUAGUCGAUGCACGAGUGCAGGGUUUUGUCCUUAUUCACCACAAAGAAGAACCCUGUGCCGGCGGGGGAGGCAGAAGGACGGAUGAACCCUGCAGCUAGGUCGUCCUCAAUGUAGGUCUCCACAGCCUUGGUCUCCGAGUAUAGUCGUCCUCGGGGCAGAGUGGUGCCUGAGAGAAGGUCAAUCCUGCAGUCAUAGGGUCGGUGCGGCAAAAACGAAGUGGCCUGGGCCUUACUGAACACCUCCCGGGCCUUACUGAACACCUUCCGGAGGUCCUGGUAUUCCGCGUGAAUGGCGGAGAUGUCCGGGCAACUUCCGAGCCCACAGGAAGACAUCCUGGGGCAGAUUGUGACUUCAGACAAUCGGCGUGGCAGAACGGGCUUCAAACCAUAAUGGCACCAGCAGUCCAGUUUAUGAUGGAUUGUGUCACUGGGGCCAAGAGAAUCCCAAUACCACGAGAACCUGAGGAGACCUAAUCAGCAUAUUUUGGAUUGCCUCGCUGUGGUUCCCUGACACUCAUAGCUUGAUGGGAGUGGUAUUGUGAGUGACCCGGCCUAUAGAGUGCUCGUCCAGCGCUCUAACAUCCAUGGGAUUGGAGAGGGGCUGAGUAGGGAUGCCAAGCUCGAACGUCAGGGUAGCUCCAAAAACCUAUUUUCGGACCCAGAUGAGUACCCGGAGAGAUUUUGACUGGUUCCCCACAUCAGGAUGGCAUGGAAAGGGGUGCGAGUAAGGGGAGAGCAAUAAGUUCUCCAUAAGGCCCACCAGAGUACUCGCCCCUUCUUGAUGAGCCAGGUUCUUUAAUGGCCAGGUUGCCAUGAAAUGUCCCGUAGCUCCACAAUAUAGACAGCUCUGGGUGUGGAUAUGGCAUAAGCACUCAGCCGGAGUCAAUCUAGCCCUGCCCAGGUGCUUGGACUCUGAAGGAGGCAAGUCAGCAGCCCUCGGUGAUUCCCGAGAGAACUCGGGUGACGUCGGGUUCACUCGGACAUGUAGAUUUCGGGGGUCUCCGGGAUUCGUCUGAGGCAAGGUGGGAAUCGAGGGCGAAUAAGGACAACUGCGCACAGAUUCCCUCUCCCUCCUACGUUCUUAAUGUUGCCCAUCAAUCCGGAUGGUCAAAGCUAUGAGGGAGUCAAGGUCCAUGGGCAGCUACCGGGCUGCAAGCUCAUCUUUGACCACCUCUGAUAAUCCGUGAAGAAACAUGUCAAACAAUGUUUCCGGGUUCCAGGCACUCAGCCACCAACGUGCGAAAAUUCACAACGUAGUCAAUGUGGAUGACCCGCUGCCCAGUGGGGAAUCCGCGGAAUUGCUCCAGCAAAGUCUCAAACGCCUGGUCAUGGCAUUCUGUCAGUGUAUGGAGUCCCUCCAUAAGACAUUGCAGUGACUCCUUGUGUCGUCCAAUGGUGGUUAUUUACUGGGAGACAGCAUUGUGAAGCCGGUCUGAGUCUGCUGGGUCGGUCAUGGCCAGUUCGUACUAUAACAUUUUAGAGAAGACCCAGAUGCAGACAGUGUCGAAGUAACAAACGUUUAUUACUAGAACAGGGGGCAGGCAGAACAACAGGUCAAGGUUAGGCAGAGGUCAGUAAUCCAGAUCAGAGUCCAAAAGGUACAGAACGGCAGGCAGUCUCAGGGUCAGCAGAGUUCAAUAAUCCAGUGUGGUGGGGCAAGGUACAGGACGGCAGGCAGGCUCAGGGCAGGCAGAAUGGUCAAAACCGGGAAAACUAGAAAACAGGAACCAUAGAAAAGACAGGAGCAAGGGGAAAAGCGUUUCUAUGCUUGACGAACAAAGCGAACUGGCAACAGAAGAACAGAGAACAUAGGUAUAAAUACACAGGGGAUAAUGAGGAGAGAUGGAAGACACCUGGUGGGGGGUAGAGACAAGCACAAAGACAGGUGAAACUAAUCUGGGUGUGACAACAACCUGAAUAUAAAAUUGAUUAAAUGUAGAUGUUUUGUCACUGGCCAACACACAGCACCCCAUAACUUCAAAGUGGAAUUGUGUUUUUUGACAUUUUUACAAAUGAAUAAAAAAUAUAAAUCUGAAAUGUCAUGAGUCAAUAAUUAAUCAACCCCUUUCUUACGGCAAGCCUAAAUAAGUAAAAUGCAUAAAAAAGUACAAAUGUGCUUAACAAGUCACAUAAUAAGUUGCAUGGAUAUACACUGUGUGCAACAAUAGUGUUAAACAUGAUUUUUGAAUGACUACCUUAUCUCUGUACCUCCCACAUACAAUUAUAUGUAAGGUUCCUCAGUCAAGUAGUGAAUUUCAAACACA
rnacentral:lncRNA from 1 species